AACUGGUAAUUGUUAAGUGCAAGUGUGUUUUGGUUCAUAUUUUGAAAGAUGAAUGUGAUCCUUGGUUUAUGCUUUGGUUCAAUGUUUCAUGAGUUUAAUUUUCACUAUUUGUAUUCGAAUCCUUGCCUUUGCUUGUUUCUUUUGCUGCAACAAGUUUGGCCUAUCAUGUUCAAACCAGGAUUAGCCAUGGUAGCAAGCUUGGAAAAUGUUAUACUGUGAGGUAUGCAUCCCACUGUGAUGAAGAUGCAAUGUUGCUAUACCUUUAACCUUGCAUGUUGUGUAAGUCAUUUUUCAGUUCAGCAGGUAUAUGGCUAGUCAUGGUUUAAUUUCUCAUUGAAAUGCAAAGUGAAAAAACCAUGUGCUUGAGUUGGCAUGGAUUGGUUGUGUCCUGCUGUACAGGGGAAUACUCACUUGGCCUUUUUUACUCAUGACAACCCUUGUUGGUAUGCAUGUCCAUUGAUGUAUUAUGAUUGUGGAAAUUGCAGCUGGUGUGCAAUCACAGGUGAAGCAGGAGUAGGUCAUGUGAAGCAAGCCAUUGGCUCCACAAUGCAGAUGUCUUAUGGAUGCUAAUGAUGAUGAUGACAUGAUGAAUUUGAUGGUUCCAAUACAGGAUGAUGGCCUGCUGUCCCAAACCCCAGUCUGGCCAAUGUUCCUGCAGUAGGUGAGAUCCUUCUUGGUUUUGCUUUAUGCUGCAUGAUAUUGCAUUUAGUGGCCAGCCUCAAUAGGAUUUUAUACUUGGAUGGUAAAUUGCUAGUAGGACUUGGUGCAUUGAUGCUUCAGCUGCAACUGGCAUUACAUGUUGGUCUGUGAAUUGGUUUGUUUGGUUUUGGUGGUUCUUGACAUGUCAUGACUGCAUUUGGUUGUGUUGGUCUGUUGCUGCAGGAAGUUUCCCAGGUUGCAGCUUCCAUGAGCCAUCACCACCAUAAAUUGCAAGUGUGAGCAUGUUCAACUGGUUAUCAGCUGGUUAUGUGGUUAUGGUGUUGGUACAAGGUUUCAGGCAAGGCAAAGUGCAACAUGGUAUUGAACUGUCUGCUGCAGCAGCAGGGCUAGCAUGUCAUGUAUUUCCAUUGGCUUGGUCACACAUUUCCAUGGUUUGAUGUGUAAGGUUUUAGGUUACAACCAAAGGUGAUGAGCAAAGGACAAUGGUUGGACUGUUAGAGAAUUCCUUGGACAUUGAUCAAGGGCAGACCAAGGCCAAUGGUGAAUGGUUCAAAAAUGCCAAAAUGACAUGGUGCUCAAAUUGCAUUACUUGCAAUGGAAGCAACCAAGAAAAACACCAACAAAAAUGAAGGUUGGAUGACACAUUAAAGCAAAGGGCCAUAUCGAGUUUGGAUAGUCAAGAGCAAGUGAGAGUUGACUUUGGUCAAAGUUGACCAAAAAAUCAACUGUUGACCAAAGUCAACAAAUGGUCAAAAUUUCAUUUUCUUUGUAAAUGGACAAUGAAUUAUUGGUUAGGAUGAAAAUUAGGGUUUUUGGAUUUUGGGUUGACUUUGGUCAAAGUUGACCAAAAAGUCAACUAUUGACCAAAGUCAACAUUUGGUCAAAAAUAUCAAGACUUGUAUUUUCUUAUGUAGAAUCAAAUGUAAUGGUUUAAAAUGACAUGAAAUGGAUUGAAAUGGAUUGAGAACUGAUUGGAAAUUGGUUUUACAAUUGGUUUAUUUAUGACUUGACUGCUUGACUUUGAAAAAAAAGAAAAUGACUUGAUUGACAAUAUAUGUUAACAAGGCCAUGAAAUGAGGUCAUAAGAUUAGGGUUUUGAUGUAAUAUUCAUGAAUCAAUGGCAUUACUAGCAAGUGGCUUGAGACACAAGAAGUUUGGUUGUUUGGAUGACCAAGACCAUAGAUGUAUCCACAAUCACAUGAACAACACCAUGACUUCGGACCAAGACCAAUGCUCAUAUAAGCCCAAAGUAAGGUUUGGUUUUGCUUAAACGGUGGCGCUGUGAGCUGGAAAAGUUUAAAGCAAGAUACAGUUGCUGAUUCGACAACUGAGGCCGAGAAUAUUGCUGCCUCAAGUGCAGCAAAGGAAGUUGUUUGGAUCAAAAAGUUCAUUAGGGAACUUGGCAUAGUUCCUAGCAUUGUGGAUCCCAUUGGUCUCUAUUGUGAUAACAAUGGUGCUAUCGCACAAGCUAAGGAUCCUAGAUCUCACCAAUAAUCUAAACACAUACUUAGGCGUUAUCACCUCAUUCGAGAGAUAAUAGAUAGAGGAGAUGUGAAAA